rnacentral:rRNA from 1 species
UACGAAGGGGGCUAGCGUUGCUCGGAAUCACUGGGCGUAAAGGGUGCGUAGGCGGUUCGUUAAGUCUGUUGUGAAAUCCCCGGGCUCAACCUGGGAAUGGCAAUGGAUACUGGCGAGCUAGAGUGUGAUAGAGGAUGGUGGAAUUCCCGGUGUAGCGGUGAAAUGCGUAGAGAUCGGGAGGAACAUCAGUGGCGAAGGCGGCCAUCUGGAUCAACACUGACGCUGAAGCACGAAAGCGUGGGGAGCAAACAGG